rnacentral:rRNA from 1 species
GAGCUAACGCGUUAAGUCGACCGCCUGGGGAGUACGGCCGCAAGGUUAAAACUCAAAUGAAUUGACGGGGGCCCGCACAAGCGGUGGAGCAUGUGGUUUAAUUCGAUGCAACGCGAAGAACCUUACCUGGUCUUGACAUCCACGGAAGUUUUCAGAGAUGAGAAUGUGCCUUCGGGAACCGUGAGACAGGUGCUGCAUGGCUGUCGUCAGCUCGUGUUGUGAAAUGUUGGGUUAAGUCCCGCAACGAGCGCAACCCUUAUCCUUUGUUGCCAGCGGUCCGGCCGGGAACUCAAAGGAGACUGCCAGUGAUAAACUGGAGGAAGGUGGGGAUGACGUCAAGUCAUCAUGGCCCUUACGACCAGGGCUACACACGUGCUACAAUGGCGCAUACAAAGAGAAGCGACCUCGCGAGAGCAAGCGGACCUCAUAAAGUGCGUCGUAGUCCGGAUUGGAGUCUGCAACUCGACUCCAUGAAGUCGGAAUCGCUAGUAAUCGUGGAUCAGAAUGCCACGGUGAAUACGUUCCCGGGCCUUGUACACACCGCCCGUCACACCAUGGGAGUGGGUUGCAAAAGAAGUAGGUAGCUUAACCUUCGGGAGGGCGCUUACCACUUUGUGAUUCAUGACUGGGGUGAAGUCGUAACAAGGUAACCG